AGCGUACACGGUGGAUGCCCUGGCAGUCAGAGGCGAUGAAGGACGUGCUAAUCUGCGAUAAGCGUCGGUAAGGUGAUAUGAACCGUUAUAACCGGCGAUUUCCGAAUGGGGAAACCCAGUGUGUUUCGACACACUAUCAUUAACUGAAUCCAUAGGUUAAUGAGGCGAACCGGGGGAACUGAAACAUCUAAGUACCCCGAGGAAAAGAAAUCAACCGAGAUUCCCCCAGUAGCGGCGAGCGAACGGGGAGCAGCCCAGAGCCUGAAUCAGUGUGUGUGUUAGUGGAAGCGUCUGGAAAGGCGCGCGAUACAGGGUGACAGCCCCGUACACAAAAAUGCACAUGCUGUGAGCUCGAUGAGUAGGGCGGGACACGUGGUAUCCUGUCUGAAUAUGGGGGGACCAUCCUCCAAGGCUAAAUACUCCUGACUGACCGAUAGUGAACCAGUACCGUGAGGGAAAGGCGAAAAGAACCCCGGCGAGGGGAGUGAAAAAGAACCUGAAACCGUGUACGUACAAGCAGUGGGAGCCUCUUUAUGGGGUGACUGCGUACCUUUUGUAUAAUGGGUCAGCGACUUAUAUUCUGUAGCAAGGUUAACCGAAUAGGGGAGCCGAAGGGAAACCGAGUCUUAACUGGGCGUUAAGUUGCAGGGUAUAGACCCGAAACCCGGUGAUCUAGCCAUGGGCAGGUUGAAGGUUGGGUAACACUAACUGGAGGACCGAACCGACUAAUGUUGAAAAAUUAGCGGAUGACUUGUGGCUGGGGGUGAAAGGCCAAUCAAACCGGGAGAUAGCUGGUUCUCCCCGAAAGCUAUUUAGGUAGCGCCUCGUGAAUUCAUCUCCGGGGGUAGAGCACUGUUUCGGCAAGGGGGUCAUCCCGACUUACCAACCCGAUGCAAACUGCGAAUACCGGAGAAUGUUAUCACGGGAGACACACGGCGGGUGCUAACGUCCGUCGUGAAGAGGGAAACAACCCAGACCGCCAGCUAAGGUCCCAAAGUCAUGGUUAAGUGGGAAACGAUGUGGGAAGGCCCAGACAGCCAGGAUGUUGGCUUAGAAGCAGCCAUCAUUUAAAGAAAGCGUAAUAGCUCACUGGUCGAGUCGGCCUGCGCGGAAGAUGUAACGGGGCUAAACCAUGCACCGAAGCUGCGGCAGCGACGCUUAUGCGUUGUUGGGUAGGGGAGCGUUCUGUAAGCCUGUGAAGGUGUACUGUGAGGUAUGCUGGAGGUAUCAGAAGUGCGAAUGCUGACAUAAGUAACGAUAAAGCGGGUGAAAAGCCCGCUCGCCGGAAGACCAAGGGUUCCUGUCCAACGUUAAUCGGGGCAGGGUGAGUCGACCCCUAAGGCGAGGCCGAAAGGCGUAGUCGAUGGGAAACAGGUUAAUAUUCCUGUACUUGGUGUUACUGCGAAGGGGGGACGGAGAAGGCUAUGUUGGCCGGGCGACGGUUGUCCCGGUUUAAGCGUGUAGGCUGGUUUUCCAGGCAAAUCCGGAAAAUCAAGGCUGAGGCGUGAUGACGAGGCACUACGGUGCUGAAGCAACAAAUGCCCUGCUUCCAGGAAAAGCCUCUAAGCAUCAGGUAACAUCAAAUCGUACCCCAAACCGACACAGGUGGUCAGGUAGAGAAUACCAAGGCGCUUGAGAGAACUCGGGUGAAGGAACUAGGCAAAAUGGUGCCGUAACUUCGGGAGAAGGCACGCUGAUAUGUAGGUGAAGCGACUUGCUCGUGGAGCUGAAAUCAGUCGAAGAUACCAGCUGGCUGCAACUGUUUAUUAAAAACACAGCACUGUGCAAACACGAAAGUGGACGUAUACGGUGUGACGCCUGCCCGGUGCCGGAAGGUUAAUUGAUGGGGUUAGCGGCAACGCGAAGCUCUUGAUCGAAGCCCCGGUAAACGGCGGCCGUAACUAUAACGGUCCUAAGGUAGCGAAAUUCCUUGUCGGGUAAGUUCCGACCUGCACGAAUGGCGUAAUGAUGGCCAGGCUGUCUCCACCCGAGACUCAGUGAAAUUGAACUCGCUGUGAAGAUGCAGUGUACCCGCGGCAAGACGGAAAGACCCCGUGAACCUUUACUAUAGCUUGACACUGAACAUUGAGCCUUGAUGUGUAGGAUAGGUGGGAGGCUUUGAAGUGUGGACGCCAGUCUGCAUGGAGCCGACCUUGAAAUACCACCCUUUAAUGUUUGAUGUUCUAACGUUGGCCCCUUAUCGGGGUUGCGGACAGUGUCUGGUGGGUAGUUUGACUGGGGCGGUCUCCUCCUAAAGAGUAACGGAGGAGCACGAAGGUUGGCUAAUCCUGGUCGGACAUCAGGAGGUUAGUGCAAUGGCAUAAGCCAGCUUGACUGCGAGCGUGACGGCGCGAGCAGGUGCGAAAGCAGGUCAUAGUGAUCCGGUGGUUCUGAAUGGAAGGGCCAUCGCUCAACGGAUAAAAGGUACUCCGGGGAUAACAGGCUGAUACCGCCCAAGAGUUCAUAUCGACGGCGGUGUUUGGCACCUCGAUGUCGGCUCAUCACAUCCUGGGGCUGAAGUAGGUCCCAAGGGUAUGGCUGUUCGCCAUUUAAAGUGGUACGCGAGCUGGGUUUAGAACGUCGUGAGACAGUUCGGUCCCUAUCUGCCGUGGGCGCUGGAGAACUGAGGGGGGCUGCUCCUAGUACGAGAGGACCGGAGUGGACGCAUCACUGGUGUUCGGGUUGUCAUGCCAAUGGCACUGCCCGGUAGCUAAAUGCGGAAGAGAUAAGUGCUGAAAGCAUCUAAGCACGAAACUUGCCCCGAGAUGAGUUCU
rnacentral:rRNA from 1 species